ACGCAGCAAAAUGCGAUAAGUAAUGUGAAUUGCAGAAUUCAGUGAAUCAUCGAAUCUUUGAACGCACAUUGCGCCCGCCAGUAUUCUGGCGGGCAUGCCUGUUCGAGCGUCAUUUCAACCCUCAAGCCCCCGGGUUUGGUGUUGGGGAUCGGCGAGCCUC
rnacentral:rRNA from 1 species